rnacentral:rRNA from 1 species
UCGAGCGAAGCUUUUUGGUAGUUUACUACUAGAAAUGACUGAGCGGCGAACGGGUGAGUAACGCGUGAGCAAUCUACCUUAGUUACUGGGAUAGCCCGAGGAAACUCGGGUUAAUACCAGAUAUUCUUAUUUUUUCACAUGAAGUUUUAAGGAAAGGUCAGCCGAACUAAGAUGAGCUCGCGUUCUAUCAGCUAGUUGGUGGGGUAAAAGCCUACCAAGGCUACGACGGAUAGCUGGUCUGAGAGGACGAUCAGCCACACUGGGACUGAGACAUGGCCCAGACUCCUACGGGAGGCUGCAGCAGGGAAUAUUGUGCAAUGAGCGAAAGCUUGACACAGCGACACCGCGUGUGGGAUGACGGUUCUAGGAUUGUAAACCACUUUCAGGAGGGAAGAAAAUGACGGUACCUCCACAAGAAGACCCGGCCAACUAUGUGCCAGCAGCCGCGGUAAUACAUAGGGGUCAAGCGUUGUCCGGAUUUAUUGGGCGUAAAGAGCUCGUAGGCGGUUCAACAAGUCGGUCGUAAAAGUUUAGGGCUCAACCCUAAAAUGUCGAUCGAUACUGUUGUGACUAGGAUACGGUAGAGGUGAAUGGAAUUCCGAGUGUAGCGGUGAAAUGCGUAGAUAUUCGGAGGAACACCAAUUGCGAAGGCAGUUCACUGGACCGUGAUCGACGCUGAGGAGCGAAAGCUAGGGGAGCAAACAGGAUUAGAUACCCUGGUAGUCCUAGCUGUAAACGAUGGAUACUAGAUGUAGGAACUGGAUUGACGGUUUCUGUAUCGUAGCUAACGCGUUAAGUAUCCCGCCUGGGGAGUACGGUCGCAAGACUAAAACUC